ACGACCUCGAUGUUGGAUCAGGGUAUCCCAGUGGUGCAGCCGCUACUAAAGGUUUGUUUGUUCAACAAUUAAAACCCUACGUGAUCUGAGUUCAGACCGGAGAAAUCCAGGUCAGUUUCUAUCUAUAAAGAGCUUUUUCCAGUACGAAAGGACCGUAACAGCGCGACCCAUGCAAAUUGUAAGUCGUUGUUAGCAAAUUAUGUCACUUAAUAAAAUACUAACCCCUUCCCCCCAUUCAAAAAAGAAUA
rnacentral:rRNA from 1 species